AGAGUUUGAUCCUGGCUCAGGAUGAACGCUAGCUACAGGCUUAACACAUGCAAGUCGAGGGGAAACGACAUCGAAAGCUUGCUUUUGAUGGGCGUCGACCGGCGCACGGGUGAGUAACGCGUAUCCAACCUGCCCACCACUUGGGGAUAACCUUGCGAAAGUAAGACUAAUACCCAAUGAUAUCUCUAGAAGACAUCUGAAACGAGAUUAAAGAUUUAUCGGUGAUGGAUCGGGGAUGCGUCUGAUUAGACUUGUUGGCGGGUAACGGCCCACCAAGGCAACGAUCAGUAGGGGUUCUGAGAGGAAGGUCCCCCACAUUGGAACUGAGACACGGUCCAACUCCUACGGGAGGCAGCA
rnacentral:rRNA from 1 species